UACGUAGGGUGCGAGCGUUAAUCGGAAUUACUGGGCGUAAAGCGUGCGCAGGCGGUUUUGCAAGCCGGAUGUGAAAUCCCCGGGCUCAACCUGGGAAUGGCAUUCGGGACUGCAAGGCUGGAGUGCGGCAGAGGAGACUGGAAUUCCUGGUGUAGCAGUGAAAUGCGUAGAUAUCGUGAGGAACACCAGAGGCGAAGGCGGCUACCUGGACAAUUGCUGACGCUCAGGCACGAAAGCGUGGGGAGCAAACAGG
rnacentral:rRNA from 1 species